AUGAACGCUGGCGGCGUGCCUAAUACAUGCAAGUCGAGCGAACAGAUGAGGAGCUUGCUCCUCUGACGUUAGCGGCGGACGGGUGAGUAACACGUGGAUAACCUACCUAUAAGACUGGGAUAACUUCGGGAAACCGGAGCUAAUACCGGAUAAUAUAUUGAACCGCAUGGUUCAAUAGUGAAAGACGGUUUUGCUGUCACUUAUAGAUGGAUCCGCGCCGCAUUAGCUAGUUGGUAAGGUAACGGCUUACCAAGGCAACGAUGCGCAGCCGACCUGAGAGGGUGAUCGGCCACACUGGAACUGAGACACGGUCCAGACUCCUACGGGAGGCAGCAGUAGGGAAUCUUCCGCAAUGGGCGAAAGCCUGACGGAGCAACGCCGCGUGAGUGAUGAAGGUCUUCGGAUCGUAAAACUCUGUUAUUAGGGAAGAACAAAUGUGUAAGUAACUAUGCACGUCUUGACGGUACCUAAUCAGAAAGCCACGGCUAACUACGUG
rnacentral:rRNA from 1 species